rnacentral:rRNA from 1 species
UACGAAGGGGGCUAGCGUUGAUCGGAUUUACUGGGCGUAAAGCGCACGUAGGCGGAUUUUUAAGUCAGGGGUGAAAUCCCAAGGCUAACCCUUGGAACUGCCUUUGAUACUGGAAGUCUCGAGUCCGGGAGAGGUGAGUGGAACUGCGAGUGUAGAGGUGAAAUUCGUAGAUAUUCGCAAGAACACCAGUGGCGAAGGCGGCUCACUGGCCCGGAACUGACGCUCAGGUGCGAAAGCGUGGGGAGCAAACAGG